UCUACGUGUCACUAGUUGAUCAGCUUCGUCCUCCCUGGAGUCCAUGGCGCGGUACAUCAGUCCGGUGAACCCGGCGGUGUACCCACACCUCACCCUGGUGCUGCUGGGUAUCGGCAUCUUCUUCAUGGCCUGGUUCUUCGUGUAUGAGGUGACAUCUAACAAGUACACCCGUGACCUGUACAAGGA